GCUGCUGAAGACUGGCAGCUAGAUAAUCCACAGGCCAAAGCCCAAUAUGCUCAUUUACCUUUCCUUCUCUCUCUCAAUCUAUUCAAGACUCCAUUCACAGUUUCCCAUUAUGUUUGUUGGUCGUCUCUCUACCAAAAGCCAUGUCUCAUACUCCGGUGAUGUUCCGGUCACUGGUGAGGCUAUUGACAUCCCUAAUAAGUGAGCCUGCGGCUUCUGUCUCCACCGUACUAUUUUACAGUGAACUUCUGCCUCAGAAUAUAAUCUUGGAGAGACUAGUUCGACAUGAAUUGCUCGACAAUGAAAAUUAUUUGUUUCAUUUCCUCAUUAACUUCUUGAGAUGCUUCUGGUAGAUAACAGAUGCCAUCUUCAUCAGCAUGCUUCUGGAACUAGCAAACAGUAGCAGCUUACAUGUUCGAGAUGUUAGACUCCGGAUUGGCGAUGGCUCAACUGUUGAAACUUUAGCCAUAGGAUCUAAAUCUUUUUACAUGUGUGGACAUGUUUUGUGUUUGAAUAAUAUUUUGUAUGUGCCUGAUGCUUUUAAGAACAUAAUUUCUAUAUCUAGUUUGAUUAGAAAUGGUUGUGAAUUUCAGUUCACAGAUGAUGUUUGCAAUAUUUAUUUUGGAAAUAAAUAUGUUGGCUCAGGUUAUAUGCA